rnacentral:rRNA from 1 species
UACGGGGGGGGCAAGCGUUGUUCGGAAUUACUGGGCGUAAAGGGCUCGUAGGUGGCCAACUAAGUCAGACGUGAAAUCCCUCGGCUUAACCGGGGAACUGCGUCUGAUACUGGAUGGCUUGAGUUCGGGAGAGGGAUGCGGAAUUCCAGGUGUAGCGGUGAGAUGCGUAGAUAUCUGGAGGAACACCGGUGGCGAAGGCGGCAUCCUGGACCGACACUGACGCUGAGGAGCGAAAGCCAGGGGAGCAAACGGG